rnacentral:rRNA from 1 species
GACGAACGCUGGCGGCGUGCUUAACACAUGCAAGUCGAACGAUGAAGCCCAGCUUGCUGGGUGGAUUAGUGGCGAACGGGUGAGUAACACGUGAGUAACCUGCCCCUGACUCUGGGAUAAGCGUUGGAAACGACGUCUAAUACUGGAUAUGACUACUGGUCGCAUGGCCUGGUGGUGGAAAGAUUUUUUGGUUGGGGAUGGACUCGCGGCCUAUCAGCUUGUUGGUGAGGUAAUGGCUCACCAAGGCGACGACGGGUAGCCGGCCUGAGAGGGUGACCGGCCACACUGGGACUGAGACACGGCCCAGACUCUACGGGAGGCAGCAGUGGGGAAUAUUGCACAAUGGGCGAAAGCCUGAUGCAGCAACGCCGCGUGAGGGAUGACGGCUUCGGGUUGUAAACCUCUUUUAGUAGGGAAGAAGCGAAAGUGACGGUACCUGCAGAAAAAGCACCGGCUAACUACGUGC